CAUUUAACAGCAGUCAAGAAAACUGCCACAAACUCCAGCCCUGAUACUGCUCCAGGGAAACAGGGAGGAAGGAAGGAAGAGAAGGUGCAGUCUGGCCCUGACUGUGGGGACUCUGCUUGGUUAUUUCAUGUCGGUCCUGAGCCAGCAGAAGCAGGAUUUGAACCUUUCAAGGGAAGGAGUGCCCAAAACAGCAGAAUCCAACAACUUUCAAGAAAGCUCCAAAGCAUCAAGCCUUUGAACUGCCAUUGCACCGAAAGGAAAUGGCAGCUUUCCCAGUUCAAGGCAUGAUAAGGCCCUUGGGAAAGGUCUUGCAGGAAGAGUGCAGAAACCUCUGUGUAGGGAAAGAGAAGACAAGAUAGAUGCAGGGAGAGGAGUGUGCCAGUAUGUAUUUGAAAAGGGAAACCAGACAUAACUCUGCUAAUGGUAGCCUUGCCCCCACGUUGCUGGUCAUAAUGGCAAUUGAAGGUUCCCAACCUCUUCCUUUGCCAGGCCUGGCCAGACUGCAGCUGCUGUGGGACAGCAGCACCCAAAGAACAUAUGGGAAAGGAAAGGUCAGAAAAAGUGAUGGUGCAGAGCAAAACAUUUGCCAGCUGGACAAAGUGAGCCAGGUGCUGCUGCUUAAAGUACAAGAAGAAAGAAGGCAAGCGUCUCCAAUCCAGCUUCAUAGAAACAAAGAGCUCAUCUCUUGUGUGUCCCAGCUGCAGCUCUCAGUCUAGCGCUUCACAUACACUCCUGCUCUGAACAGGCUGCACUCACAUGGGCUAUGGCUUCUUAGGCUGUCUCCUGCAUCCUGGGUAGUUGUGUAAAGCUGGACUGUUAAUCCCUGAGGCUCUGUAAAAUCAUUACUCUCAGAGCUGCAAGGGUCCUUCUCUACCCCAGCCACAUAAAGACUGGCAGGAUACCUAUGGGAACAGUGAUCUGAGGUCAGACCAAGGGGCUGUGGUACAAAUAUCCAAGGUAUCUGCUAAAAGAGAGCAGCAGUUUUCUGACUCCAAUUCAGUUUAUGUCCCUUGUCCACCAGGGAAAGAGUUAAAGACUAAUUGUGUUCAUGUAAGAUGAAGCCUUCACUGGAGGAAUUGGUAAGCAAUUCCAUAGGGACAGCAGGGGAGCAGGGCUGUCUCUCCAGUCUGCCCAGAGAGCCAGUUGGUUUUGCUUUGUGUCUGUGGCUUCUGGUUUGUGUGAUCUGGGAGUUCAGAGACUCCCAGUGUGGAAUUUUAUUGUCCAGCCUGUAUUUUCUACACUGACACCAGAGUAUCCUGUCAUCUGUGUGGUAUUGCAAGUUACUGCUCUCAUGUGCUGGGCUGCCUCAUUUCACUGCAAUGCUAGUUAUCCCAUUCACCCACCCAUUAGGCCAUGAAUGUCAUGGGAAUGUUACUGAAAUAAUCUGGUAGUGGAAUUAUGAUGUAUUUUAGCACAGUUACAUCCCAAAAUCUAAAACCUAGCUUGAUUGUGUUUAUUAUUGCAUCGCUCUUUGUAGCUUAAGUAUUGGUGGUACAACAGAGAGGGAACUGAAUCUUCUUGUGGGUCUGUUUGUGCAAUUUUACAAGACACACAGAAUGGGCAGACUCAAUGGCAGCUACAAAAGUCCUUCAGGGCUUCCUGGUUUGCUCUUCUUCCCUCUGAAAUAUAUCUAUAUAUCAAUAUAUCUAUAUAUUCAUAUAUCUAAUAUAUUCAUAUUAGAUACAAUUAUUGCUAAUUAUAUGUAUAAUAUAAUACAUAAAAUGAUAAUAAUAUUAUUCAUAUAUAUUGUAUAAUAAGUUUGAUAUACAUCAUAUAUCAAAUAUCUAAUAUAGGCUAUGAUUUGGAGGUCACAGGAAUUGCCUUCUGCCAUCCUUCCACUAAGCUGUGAGCCUCUGAAUAUUUUGACUGCAAGCCAAAAUUUUUUUCCUGGUGUGGUAAAUCUGGGAGGUGUAGGACCAGAAUGUUACCUGUGUUUUAGGGAAGACACUUCCAGAUGAGCUGGAGGCUGUAUCUUACUGCUACCUUUCUCUCCAUUCCCCAGAUAAUUAACUAAGUUGUUUAGCUCUUGAAUACUUCUAGCUAAAAGUCUCAUGCUUUUCUUCCUUUAGUCUGAUGUGUUUCAGAUCAAGCUCAUACGAAUCUUCCAGCCAAAAGGUUCUUAGAACUUAUGUGUGCAGGGGUGUUGGUUUGUGGCAGUGCAGGGCUGGGGGAAGGAGCCAAUGGUCUCAGGAUGAGCCAGGAGUGCCCAUGGGAAGCUUCACAACUGCCUUGCCAUGUGUGCCUUGGCCUGUAACAAACCUGCAAGAACCAAAACCCAGCAACAUUCGCUGAUUCUGUUCAAAUUGCCUGUCUACUCAAGACUGAUGUCUUUGGUGCUGGAAUCAGUGCUGCUAUUACACUGUGUUCUCUUCCUGCUAUUCACAAACAUCCAUGAUUUCUAGCUCAGCUGUGUUUUCCUCCCAGCUGGCAGAAACCGUGGCUGUGAAGUGUGGGAAUAAAACUUGGGAUCUGCUGCAGCCAAUUUUUAUUUUGCUGUUGAAAUUCUCACCUCUGUGAAAUCACUACAGAAAAAUGUUUUUAUUUAUGAUGUUUUAUUUAUUUUCUAUUUCUAUGACACGUACUUCAGAAAUGUAAGAACCCUCCUUUGUUUUCCUGUGUGUAUCCAGCUCGUUCCCAAGAAACGGUGUGAAUGUUGAGGUGGAGGCCUGAGGGAAGUGUUGGCUCCCAGUGCCUGCCCUCAGUUAAACACGUGGGAGCUCUGUCUUUCCAUGUGUGCCUGUGCAGAUACCUAAGUUGUCCUAUAAAGGUCUUCAGGACAGGGCUCUCUUCUGCUGAGAUGCUGGAAUGGAAAUACUUGCUAGCCGCUUUCCUUUGAGGCUGGUGCUCUGUCCUUUUACAGCACAGCUUUCUAAUAGCUGACUUCCAGUGAAACUCUGAAAGACUGAACAGCUGAAAACCCAUCAUGUGCCUCUCACUGUGGGGACUAUUGGCCACUGGACAGAAUUACUGAUCCUUAAUUACAGUGUCUGUACAGAUAAUGAUCAGCCUGGAGCCAUAAUCAGAUAUAAAAAGACUCUGAAACAAAUCUAUAAGCCAAGUUCUAUAUUUAUGUAAAGCCCUGACAAUUGGGAAAGCAUGCCAACACAAGUUAUUAAUGCCACCAUAUUUUUAUCAUGUAAAUGUGGCUGUGUAGUUAGUGAUGAUCAGGGUUUCUGGAUAUGGCAUUACAGCCACACACAGAAGAAGUCAGUUCACCCAGUUGGUUGUGUUUGAGAGUGAAUGUCACACUGACAGUUCUGUAGUGAAAAGAACUUACUAUAAUGGAGGAGACCAAGAAAGAAGCAGUUUUUCUCUGUUUUUUUUUUUUUUUUUUUUUGGAACAACUGCACUGACUUGGAGACUGUAAUUCCCCAAGGGAGCUAUGUUCAGCUAUAAAUAUUCCCUGAGAUAGCUCAGUGGGUUUAUCUGGACUGAGGCUAAUUUAUAGAUAUUGCAUUGGACUCUCAGAGGGGGCAUAUCUCUUAUACUCUGUAGAGCAGUGAUGGGUAAUAAUGACCAAAGGAAAGUCUGAGAUACCUCUUAACAAAAGGUUCCUCCAUCACUGUUCUGAAUGUGAACCUCCCAGCUGUGUCAGAGCAAGCAGUAUCUUGAGGCAGAGUUUGUCUGCAGGGAAAGCAGAAGAUGAAACAAGAGUUAUGCUUCUUUGUCAUAGUAUAUAUCUGGUGCUAAAUAAUAAAUCUUUUCAGAAUUUAAAUCUAAAUAAAGCUGCCCACGAUCACCACCCCUACUGCCUGUGCUGCUGGGUAGAAGGAGGUGAGACCUGCUAGUGGAAGAUGUGAUUUUAGCUGGAGCCAGGCAUCUGCCCCACCUGCAGGCUGGAAGAAGAAUAUGUUUGGCCAGUUUAAUGCCAGAGUGUGUCUCAGUUCACCAGGAGCAGUCAGGCUAAAGCCAAUGUCUGGGAAAAAGCAGCUCCAAGGUUUGCUGCAUUGAGAAGAGCCCUGCAGAGCAGAGAUCACCUGCAGCAGCCCAGGGGGGUGUGGGUGAUGCAGUGCUUGUGCUGUGUCAUGGCCCUGCAGCAUGAUGUUAUUUUUGUUACCCUGUGCUGGGCUCGGAUUCUGUAACCACCUUACAGCUACUACUGUGAAGUGACCAUUGAAAGGCUGUUUGCUCACCAGGACAAAAAACUUCCUGCAGGAUCUUGUCAAAAAUACUUCCAGAAGAUUCUGUGGUUCCAUGCAUACUUCAAGCUGAUGAGGAGUGUAGCACAGAGAUGGGACACCCUUGGGGGAAGAAAAUUACCAUCAGUUCUCACCAUGGAAGACAUGAAUCAUCCUCAUCUGCUUUUCCUCUCACUGGGAGGUAGGUGUGUCACUGUUGCUGAGGAUUACAGGAGGCACCACCAGAGUUUUUCAGUUUCAGUAAUUUUUAUGUACUUCUCCCAGUCUUAGAUAAUGGAGUAAAAGCACCUAAGUAGAGGGAGGGCAGGUGUCAUUCUCCAGACACAUUACCUUAAUGAAUUUCCCUCUCUUUGUAAGAAGGUCUAGAAGGCUUUCAAAGCUGCUUUUCUGUGUCUUAAAGCAGUUUCCAUUGCUAUCUGCUGAAUGAAAUUGUAGGCAGCAAAGUUUUACCCCUUUUACUUAAGUACUGAUUUUAAUGUUGUUCUAGCUUUGUAGGCUAUAGGGGAGGUGAGGUAUCAGUGAGGUGUGAUAUUCAAAUUCAGUUUGGAUUAUUGUAUUAUUGUAUGAUUUAUUACUUGUAUGCUUUGGAAGGUCUAGUUGAUAAAUUAUGUAGGUGAAAAAGGCUUUAAUAAGAAGUGAAAAAGCCAAUGUGCAUUCUUCAGACAUUCUGUUGAGAGAGAGAAAUGAGAAGAGUACAGACUGCUAGAGAUUAUAUGAAUGAGUUAAAACAAAUAUUUUAGUAUCUUUGCAUUCCUUUUCCUGUGUUUAAAUGGUCUACUUAGAAUAUGCUGUAUUGUACAACUUGACCCAGAGAUUUAGGUAAAAAAUAGCUUAUUAAAAACUUCACUAAUUAUAGUGUCAGUCUUUCUAUGAACUUGAAUUAUAGCCCAGCUGAAGAUGAUGUGUUUAACCAGCUCAUAAUAUGCCCUGACUGAAAUUUAUUAUCUUUUACUUGUUUUUGAGAGAAAAGCAAAUACUUACCAGAUGACCUGCUUGUUUUGUCUGUCAGGCUGCUGUCACUAAACAUGUUGGAAGUGUUCGGCCAAAACUUUAGAACAACCAUUCCUCUAUUACACACACCUUGCACACCAUCUUAGUCUGGAUCUUAGUCUGGUUUAUAAAUAUAAUCUUUAUGAAUAUAAUCU